rnacentral:rRNA from 1 species
AUUGAACGCUGGCGGAAUGCUUUACACAUGCAAGUCGAACGGCAGCACGGGUGCUUGCACCUGGUGGCGAGUGGCGAACGGGUGAGUAAUGCACCGGAACGUAUCCAAUAAUGGGGGAUAACGCACCGAAAGGUGUGCUAAUACCGCAUACGCCCUGAGGGGGAAAGCGGGGGAUCGUAAGACCUCGCGUUAAUGGAGCGGCCGAUGCCGGAUUAGCUAGUUGGUGAGGUAAAGGCUCACCAAGGCGACGAUCCGUAGCUGGUCUGAGAGGACGACCAGCCACACUGGAACUGAGACACGGUCCAGACUCCUACGGGAGGCAGCAGUGGGGAAUUUUGGACAAUGGGCGCAAGCCUGAUCCAGCCAUUCCGCGUGAGUG